rnacentral:tRNA from 1 species
UCCCUGGUGGUCCAGUGGUUAAGACUCUGCCUUCCAAUGCAGAAGGUGCAGGUUCAAUCUCUGAUCGGGGAU